rnacentral:rRNA from 1 species
GAUGAACGCUGGCGGCGUGCCUAAUACAUGCAAGUAGAACGCUGAAGGAGGAGCUUGCUCUUCUGGAUGAGUUGCGAACGGGUGAGUAACGCGUAGGUAACCUGCCUGGUAGCGGGGGAUAACUAUUGGAAACGAUAGCUAAUACCGCAUGACAACAGUUAUUGCAUGAUAACUGUUUAAAAGGGGCAACUGCUCCACUACCAGAUGGACCUGCGUUGUAUUAGCUAGUUGGUGAGGUAACGGCUCACCAAGGCGACGAUACAUAGCCGACCUGAGAGGGUGAUCGGCCACACUGGGACUGAGACACGGCCCAGACUCCUACGGGAGGCAGCAGUAGGGAAUCUUCGGCAAUGGACGGAAGUCUGACCGAGCAACGCCGCGGGGGUGAAGAAGGGUUUCGGGUCGGAAAGCUCUGUUGUAAGGGAAGAACGAGUGUGAGAGUGGAAAGUUCACACUGUGACGGUAUCUUACCAGAAAGGGACGGCUAACUACGUG